rnacentral:piRNA from 1 species
UAGGCAAAAAUCGUAUGACUUAUGUGCC